AUUGUAGUUCUGGUAGUUGGAAGGUGCAUUUUGGUGAGGCAUGCCUCUAUUGGUGGGACCAUUCUGGAAGUUCUGCUGCAUGUUCCCAGGCAUGUUAUUGGACCAUCCAGAAUUUGGCAUGCUUGGCGGUGGCGGGUAAUUGUUUGGUGGUGGUGGGCGGUAGCUGUUAGGUGGUGGUGCAUAGUUGUUAGGUGGUGGAGGUCCCCCCGAAUAGCUGUGAGGAGGUGGUGGUGGAGGUCCCCCCGAGUAGCUAUGAGGUGGUGGUGGAGGUCCAGCCGAGUAGCUGUGAGGAGGGGGUGGUGGAGAACCACCUGAGUAGUUUUGAGGAGGGGGUGGUGGAGGUCCAGCUGAGUAGUUUUGAGGAGCUGGUGGUGGAGGUCCAGCCGAGUAGUUGUGAGGCGGGGGUGGUGGAGGUCCACCUGGUCCACUCAUGUUUACUGCCUGAUUAUCCAUUGGAGCCGCUCUUGUGCUCUGAAAAUCUCGGUUCUGCAUGUUUUCCCUUCUUCUUUCAUAGUUUCUUGAGCGAUCAAAGUUCCGAGGCCUAUCAUUGCGCCUAUUUCUCUC
rnacentral:lncRNA from 1 species